rnacentral:lncRNA from 1 species
GGCUUGGCCUUAAAAUAAUGGCCAAAAUUUCUGACAGAAAAAUUGUCAAAAUCAUUAACAUUGAAACGACUGCUGCUAAACCUAUCGUAACUAGUACUACUGAAACCGACCGUUCCUAAAACAAAUGGCGAAGAGUUUGGUGAUUGAUACCCGAGGUCCCAAAUUCGAAUCCUAGUUGAUUCACAUUUCCAGCUAAAUUUAUUUUUAAAUGAAAUAAACGACGCAGAUAGCGUGCUACUUAUCUCUCAAAAAAAUAUUAGUACUACUGUAAAUUGUUGAAAUUUCUACUAGAAACUGCC